UCCUGAUAGCAACGAACGUGGCCGCAACCUCUUGUUGCUUUCAUACCCAAAUAUCUUAUAUGUACGCAUAUAUUAUAUUAAGAAAGCUUACCAUACACAAACUAGAGGGACCGCUGUUACUUUCUUAAACCAGAGGAAGGUUGCGGCAAUAACAGGUCUGUGAUGCCCUUAGAUGUUCCGGGCUGCACACGUGCUACAAUGAUUAUUGCAGUGAGCAUCUCAUUUAUUACUACAUCGCAUGCGCGAGUCAUAUUUAUUCCGUUCGCGGUUUAAAUAUUCUGAUCUCUGCGCGCGAUUAAGCCUACUUUGAAAGUAAGCGGGUAAUCAAUUAGAAGUAAUGAUUUCCUACUCUUAGCAGUACUUGCACACAUAUAUGCGGCACAUCUACCCGGCUUGCCUUGUUGCAAGUUUUUGUGCGUAGAUGUGUACUUUUUCCGCAUGUGCAAUUGUCAAUUCAUGGUGGGGACAGACCAUUGUUUCAAUUGUUGGUCUCGGUCUUAACUAGGAAUGCCUUGUACGGGUCUUUGGUUCAACAAACCACCCGGAAUACGUCCCUGCCCUUUGUACACACCGCCCGUCGCUCUUACCGAUGGACUUCUCUGUGAGUUUGAGGGACUGUCUGCGGCGUGGAUAUAUUUCGAUAUAUGCCGCCGCUCUAGGAAACUUAAACGAACAG
rnacentral:rRNA from 1 species